CAUUACUGAGUUUACAACUCCCAAACCCUAUGUGAACAUACCUAUUGUUGCUUCGGCGGGAUCGCCCCGGCUGCCCAGAGCGCCGGAACCAGGCCCCCGCCGCAAGACCCAAAACUCUGUUUUUUAUAGUAUUCUUCUGAGUGGCUUCUAAAGCAAAAAUAAAUUAAAACUUUCAACAACGGAUCUCUUGGUUCUGGCAUCGAUGAAGAACGCAGCGAAAUGCGAUAAGUAAUGUGAAUUGCAGAAUUCAGUGAAUCAUCGAAUCUUUGAACGCACAUUGCGCCCGCCAGUACUCUGGCGGGCAUGCCUGUCCGAGCGUCAUUUCAACCCUCAGAACUCCCUUUCGGGGGAGGACUGGUGUUGGGGAUCAGCGUAGGCGCGGGGCUUCGGUCCCGCCUGCUGUCCCUCAAAUACAGUGGCGGUCUCGCUGUGGACUCCCAUGCGUAGUAACAUACCUCGCACGUGGAAACCUGGCUUGGCCAUGCCGUGAAACCCCCUAUUUUUUUGUGGUUGACCUCGGAUCAGGUAGGAAUACCCGCUGAACUUAAGCAAUC
rnacentral:rRNA from 1 species